AGUAUGGUCGCCAAAGGCUGAAACUUUAAGGGAAUUGCCGGAAGGGGCCCCACCAGGGAGUGGAGCCUGCGGGCUUAAUUUGGACUCCAACACCGAGAAAACUUACCAGGUCCCAGACAUAGUAAGGGAUAGACAGAUUGAGAGGCUCUUUCUUGAUUCUAUGGGGUGAUAGGUGCAUGGCCGUUCUUAGUUGGUGGAGUGAUUUUGUCUGGUUAAAUUCCGUUAACGAACGAGAACAUCCGCGUGCUAAAUAGUACCGCUUACCAUUUUUGGUAGGUUUAGUGGACUUUUUAGAGGGACUUUUGGGUAAUCAAACCAAAAGAAGUUGGAGGCAAUAACAGGUCUGUGAUGCCCUUAGAUGUUCUGGACCGCACGCGCGCUACACUGAUGCGUUCAACGAGUAUACAACCUUGAUCGAUAGGUCUGGGUAAUCUUGUGAAUGCGCAUCGUGCUAGGGAUAGACUGUUGCAAUUUUUAGUCUUGAACGAGGAAUUCCUAGUAAACGCAAGUCAUCAGCUUGCAUUGAUUACGUCCCUGCCCUUUGUACACACCGCCCGUCGCACCUACCGAUUGAAUGACUCGGUGAAAAAUUGGGACCGUGAGUCUGUUUGCUUUAUUGCGAGUGGAUUGAUGGGAACUUUUUUAAACCUCGCCAUUUAGAGGAAGGUGAAGUCGUAACAAGGUUUCCGUAGGUGAACCUGCGGAAGGAUCAUUA
rnacentral:rRNA from 1 species